rnacentral:rRNA from 1 species
GACGAACCGUGCGAACGUUGUUCGGAAUCACUGGGCUUAAAGGGCGCGUAGGCGGACCGCCAAGUCGGGGGUGAAAUCUUUCGGCCCAACCGGAAAAGCGCUUCCGAUACUGGCGGCCUCGAGGGAGGUAGGGUCGGCGGAACUGGUGGUGGAGCGGUGAAAUGCGUAGAUAUCACUAGGAACGCCGGUGGCGAAAGCGGCCGACUGGACCUCUUCUGACGCUGAGGCGCGAAGCCAGGGAGCGAACGGG